AUUGGGAACGGAGAAUGGACGGGUGACAGCCAAGGUGUGUGGCUGCAAGCUCCCCUUCCCACUAUUCUCCAUUCAUGAUGCAACAGGAGGUGGCUGCAUUUUUUUGACAACCAGAUCAAGACAACGGCGAUAGGGAGCAAUUUUGGCUUCAUGGUACCUAUGAAUCCAUCAGCAGUCUGGCAACAUUAGUCGAAGAGAGGUUGCAAGGUAAAGAACUUCUUGUAGAAAGCAUUUAGCUUCCAAAACAAGAGUAAUAUAUGGACACAAUUGAUUAAACAAAUUAACAGGAAUGACGCUGGAGAGAUUUUGUUUAGAGCAUAUCGAUUUAAGCCACUGUCGCUUUCAGGAAAGAGAAGGUACAUAUAGU